AUUGAACGCUGGCGGCAUGCUUUACACAUGCAAGUCGAACGGCAGCACGGACUUCGGUCUGGUGGCGAGUGGCGAACGGGUGAGUAAUACAUCGGAACGUACCCAGUAAUGGGGGAUAACUAUCCGAAAGGAUAGCUAAUACCGCAUACGCCCUACGGGGGAAAGAGGGGGAUCGCAAGACCUCUUGUUAUUGGAGCGGCCGAUGGCUGAUUAGCUAGUUGGUAGGGUAAAGGCCUACCAAGGCAACGAUCAGUAGCGGGUCUUAGAGGACGAUCCGCCACACUGGAACUGAGACACGGUCCAGACUCCUACGGGAGGCAGCAGUGGGGAAUCUUGGACAGUGGGCGCAAGCCUGAUCCAGCAAUGCCGCGUGCGUGAAGAAGGCCUUCGAGUUGUAAAGCGCUUUUGUCAGGGAGCAAAUCCUUGUGGCUAAUACCCACCGGGGAUGAGAGUACCUGAAGAAUAAGGACCGGCUAACUACGUGCCAGCCGCCGCCGUAAGAC
rnacentral:rRNA from 1 species